AGGACGUCUUGGACCAAGUAACUGUUGCAGUGUGGGAUUUCUUCAGUAGGGGCUCGAGCAUUGCAACCUCUUUCUAGGUUAGGACCUCGUUGCUUGGAAAGCACACUUGCCUCGCGGUUAGAACUCGCCAAGUAAAUCUCCAGGUAGAGGACGAGGCAAGGGCAAAGGCAAGCUGGCGAGCGACCCGAAGUGACCGUGGCGAGCCAUAGAGACUCCUGCUUCCGCUUAUUCUUGUUUUUUUGACUUUAGUACCUGAGUUUGAGUAUUCUUCAUUACUUACCAUCUUUUUAUGUAGAUAGGGCCCGAGUAGGACUUUAGAACGCAUUUC